UCUCUCUUCAGCAGAGCAUAUACCUAAGCUGAAAAGAUACAGGGACAUUGUAUGGCCCCUGUGAAAGGAUGACGGGCAAGUUCGGGAAACGUUCCACAUUAAC